AAGAGCUGAAUUUGUUUAUGGAAAAGACCGAAGCAGAAGAGGAUGUGGGCGUUAAAUGGGAGUUACCCACAAUCAGCAUAAGGCUGACUUUAUUUCAGUCUUUUAAUGGCACUACCUAUACUUUAGGGCUGGGCAAUGUGAUUAUAUGAUAAAAAUAUACUUUUCUGAGAGCAUCAUGAGUACUUUUAUAACACUCCCUCCACUGUUACUGCAGGUAGCAAUAGUAAGACUGAAUGGCAGUUGAAUUAUAUUUAGGGGCCAUGCACAGAAGGUGUAUAGACACCCUAUUGUUAUUCUACCUUUUCUUCUGCUGCUGCUGCUUCUUGUUCGUCUUCUGGCUAGAGUGUCAAAGGGAGCCCAGCUGGUAAAAAGUUGUGAAAUUUGGUACACAGAUUGGGGAGGGUCUAAGGAACAUUCUGACCAAAUUUGGGCCAGUGCUCUAGCACCACCGUUGGGUCAAAUUUGGGCCUAAUUUGAAGUAUGUUUAUGGUCAUAAUUUUUGAAUUGUGUGUCUAAAAUUUAAAAGCCUCACAAUCAUCACCAAAUUUGGCACACGUCAUCACAAGCCUCACAAAAGUUAUACUCCAAACAGUUUGUCUGUGAUGGACCGAAGAAUCUGAUGUCAAACUGAAUUCCAGCAAUGACUUUGUGCACUGACAGAAAACAUGGUAGGCAUCUUCAGGACCAUGACCUGAGGUUAUGCAACAAAUUUUGUGACAGCAUCACUUGCUGGUCAAAAGUUACAAUAACAUGCAGAAAAUGGUUCCAUCUAUGUGCUAUGUUUUGCUACUCCUUCUCCAAAAUUUGUUGUUGGCUUUAUCAUGCACUUUUCAAAUGUAGCACAACUGUGUUCCUGAUACAUUGUUAGCAAACCUAAAUAAGGUGAUACAUACCAUGUAUCAUAAAAAUGUAUUGACACAUGAUAUUUUUGCCUUAAACCACAGCACUACUGAAUUCUUGAUUCUGAUUGGUCAGAAAGUGUUGAUUUUGUUUUCUAUAACAGCAGGUCUGAUGGUAGUUCUAGCUGUAAUUCAAAUCACAGUUUUACUCUAUAAUAAUGCACAUAAUAAUGGACUCAUUCUAGGAAAUUCCACCUAAUCUAAGAGUAAAAAUAGAUUUUAACGGAUUUAAAAUGUGAUGUUAUUUAACAAAGAAUGAUGUAUAAUUGUUGAUGUGGUUCAGCUUUCUGUAAGGAUUCGUUAUUUUUAAAAACACUUUUUGUUUCAGCACUGUGUAACAGUCAGAGGUGAAGCUGUUAAAGGUUGAAGGUUUCCACCAAAAUAAAAGUCUUCAGGACAAGCUACAUUUAUUAAUCCUAUUAACUUCUAUAGAAAGUUUGUAGCUGCUAUAACAUUAGUGAUAACAGUAACUAACUUGUUUCAUGGAUGACAACAUUAUUUAUAAAUGGAUUAAUAGUAUGAUGUGUCAAUAUGGCCAAAAGUUUGUGAACACCUGACUUUUGCAUCCUUAUAUGGCUCUUCCACAAACUGUUGGCAAAAUGUUUUAAGCAAGCAAUUGCAUAGACUGUCUUAGUAUGCUGUAGCGUUUCAAUUUCCCUUCACUGGAACUAAGAGGCACAAACCUGUUCCAACAUGACAAUGCCCCUGUGCCCAAAGCGAGCUCCAUGAAGACAUGCUUUGCCAAGGUUGGAGUGGAAGAACUCAAGUAUUCUGCACAAAGCCCUAACCUCAACCCCACAGAACACCUUUGGGAUGAACUGGAACACCGACUGCACCCCAGACAUCCUCACCCUACAUCAUUGCCCGACCCCACUAAUGCUCUUGUAGCUGAAUGAACACAAAUCCCCACAGCCACGCCCCAAAAUCUUGAGGAAAGCCAAGAUCAGUAAAAGCGGACCAAAUCUGGAACAAGAAGUUCAACAAGCACAUAUGGGUGUGAUGGUUAGAUGUCCCCAAACUUUUGGCCAUAAAGUGUAUAUGGCAUGACAAAAAUAAAACAAUUUUGUGAGAGCAAGACAUUGAGAUACGGUCAGUUUUAGUCAAUUCUCAAACCUCUAUCUAUUGCUUUUAUCGCUCUUUAAAAUAAUAUAUUCUUGAGUAAUUGGUAUCAGUUAGUCUGAUGAUGUUUCCUAAUGAUUUAAAACUUUAGUAACAAUCCAGAUUGUUUAAUAAGCAGCGAUCAUGAGUAAUUUAAUCUCACACUGCUGCUGUGUACAAACAGGCUAAUGGGUUUAAUUAAAGUGUAGAAUAACGCCAAAGGGCUCUUAAGUGAAAUUAGUCUGUCUGAAUCCAGCACAAACGCAGUUCAUGGGAGAGUGAAAGAAGGGCGAUGAGAACAGAUUCCCCACAUCACGGCGGUUAUUUAACACAAAACACACCCUUUCCCGGGAAAAACCCACCUACUCGAAUCCUGACGCAACAUUUAACCACAGAUUACCACAGUUUACACAGGAAAAUUAGGAGAUCCUAAGUAGAUCCUCAGUUAUGUCUAGACUGCGCCCACAAAUCCACCACCCAGGCAGAAAGAAAAAACAACAACAGAAUUUUACCACAAAACCCCUAGUGUGUAUUGGUGAACAGGAUGGCUCCAUGCUAACAGCAUGAGUGAUUAAAGACAUACACUGAAUAUAAAAAGCAGUGUUGGGGAGCUACUUUGAAACUGUAGCUUUUCAAGCUUCAAGCUACUCAUAGCUUGAAGUAGUUAAGCUACACUCCAGCUACCUUUUUUAAAUUGAAGCUACUUAAAUGGGCGAUAUUUUUAGUAUGUCAUGAUUGUGAAUCAGCUUAUGAAUGUAUAAUUGCAUAAAUAAAUUAAACACAAAUAUAAGAUAAUUCAGAAGAGUUAUGAAUUUAAUAGUCUUGUUUUUAUUUAUAGACCAUCCAUAGAUAUAAAUAAUAGUCAAACUGUAUAUUGAUAAUAAUAUGACUACUACUACUACAACUACUACUACUACUAAUAAUAAUAAUAAUAAUACAAUAUCAAUAAAAUGAAUAAUAUUAUUUGUAAUAACAAUAAUAAUAAUAUAAUGUAAUAAAAUCCAGAAAUAUAGUCUACUCAUUUUAAAUAAUGUGUACAUUAGGCUACUUAUCAAUUUAAAAUGACAAUCGCACUCACCUCUACGUGGUGAAAUUUGACCUUUAACCCUUGGACAUCGACGUUAUUUUAAUGGCACAUGAACUUCAACAAAUGAAGCCACAGGUAAUUGGUUUUCUCAUUUUCUAAAUCAGUGGCCAUGUUCUGCUCCAUCAUGGAUAAUAAGGAUGAGAGUGUCGAACUUGAACAGUCAAUACUUCCGAUAGGUUAAUAAUAACACAUGAAACGAUACACUGUUAUUAUUUUUCAACCACUGAUUAAUUAAUUAGUCAUGGAAAUAAUAAUAAAUAUAAAUAAGUUAAGAUAGGAACUUUUUCUCUUGCGGCUCCCUUAAACAUGAUGUUGAGAAAUACGAUCAGACUGCCACUCAGACACAUUUUGGCUUCAUCCACCCGUAUAUACAGUCAUUACCAGGCGUUAUCCUGUGCUUUUGUUAUUGGAUGACCUGUUUAUCAAUAUAUACAUGCUCUUUGGUAUUCUGCCGUGCAAUAAUUUAAAGACCUGCAGUUGAGCAACACUAAACUGGAAGCUAGAAAGGUUCCCUUAUCCUUAAAGUGUCAGUGCAAAUAUCAGACACUAAACUUUUCAUAACUGAUGAAUUAUAUUCAGGCUAAGGGGGAGCAGGUAUCAUUUCUUUUAGUUGUACAAUUCCUGUUACUUUAAGACAAGCUGAUUCUAGCUUCUGGAGUAGAUCAUUUCUUGCGUACUACUAAAUAUGUGAAAUUGUUUACAUGCCGAUCCCGAGAUCAUAGCACGUUAAUAACUGAUCCACUCCUUAGCCAGAGGGUGUGUGUGUGUGUGUGUGUGUGUGUGUGUGUGUGUGUGUGUGUGUGUGUGGAUAAAUCAGUUUCACCACGCAACACAAAUGUGUCAGUGUGAAAGAUGAGCAACAAACAAGGAAUGGAAUACAACAAACAAGGAAUGGAUGGGACUGUGUGUGUGUGUGUGUGUGUGUGUGUGUGUGUGUGUGUGUGUGUGUGUGUGUGAGAUCUAUGGCCUAUUUCCUUUAAAGUCAAAACCACCGGGAUUUUAGAGUCCUGUAUUAGCGCGCACACACACACACACACACUGAUAGACAGUUCACAAACUGGGCAAAAGACUUACAAUGGUUCAGGGUAGUCCUACAUUCAACAUGUGCUGAUAGUAGAGUACAGUUUGAGCGCCUACUACAGCUGUGUAGUGAGGUACAGUACAGCGUGUACAGCUGUGUAGUGAGGUAUAGUACAGCGUGUACAGCUGUGUAGUGAGGUAUAGUACAGCGUGUACAGCUGUGUAGUGAGGUAUUAUACAGUGUGUACAGCUGUGUAGUGAGGUAUAGUACAGUGUGCACAGCUGUGUAGUGAGGUAUAGUACAGCUGCGUAGUGAGGUAUUAUACAGUGUACAGCUGUGUAGUGAGGUUUAGUACAGUGUGCACAGCUGUGUAGUGAGGUAUAGUACAGCGUGUACAGCUGUGUAGUGAGGUACAGUACAGCGUGUACAGCUGUGUAGUGAGGUAUAGUACAAUGAGGUAUUUGUAUUCUUCUACAGGGAUUUAGUUUUUGCUAUGUCUUUGUUCCACUUUUUAAAUGUUUUUCCAGUUUAGUUUUGUUGGCCUUUCCAGACUUUAUAUGUUCAGUUUUCCUGCCCAUUUUAUUUUCAGACCAUUACCAAUAUCAUGACAUGGGGAAAAAUAAAAUGCGCUAAACAAUACAAAUUUUCAGUAUCAACACAAUAUAUCAAAAGACAGCAGGUUUUAAAAUUUGCUAUCUUGGGUCUCUUACUGGAACAACUGUAAGAACAUACAAAACUUUCCCAAAAUCUCUUCUGGGUUUCCAUACUUUCGAAACUGGCCUGGCAAAUGACUGCCUUUAUAUUUAUUACCUUUCCAGACUUUCCAGAACUGUGCAAGAGUCGGGUUCGAGUUAUUAUAUGAGAGUUUCACAAGCAUUCAUAAAUACAUAGUAAAUACAAUUAUCUCUCAAAUAUUCUACAAUGAUAAUAUUAUCAAGCAGAACAAAGAUAAUUAGUCUAAUAAUUAUUGCAUUAAGACACAGACAAAGUCUUAAAACACAGUGUAGAGCUUAUGUUAGAGCUUAACGGUGCUCAAAUCCCACAUUUUUUAGCUUGGGUUAAACAGCAUUGUGUUUUUAUUACACCAGAAGCUUUACGACUGCUGUCUGCAAUGUCAACUUUCCACAUUCUGCAGGUGAGGUAGUGUUUCACCAUAAACACUGAUGCCCUGAUAAACAGGGCUGUCAGUUCAUUUAUGACAAAGAUUGGUAGACUAGGAAAUGUCAGCUCAGUGGAUACACACUUAGAUAUGGUAUACACUGAACUAGCAGUUUAUUGUGUAAAAAAAAAAAAAAAAAAAAAAAAAACAAUGUUGGUUACUCUCAUGCUGCCUUCAAGUGCAACCAGAAUUGUGGUACAUAUGAGUUUCUGAACAUUUGGUACGAGUUUAUGAAGCUUCAGGAAUUAUUUUGAUACCCAACUUUCCAAACUAUUGACAUUUACAGCAUUUGGCAGAUGCCCUUAUCCAGAACAACUUACAAUGAUCUAAUAUUUUAUAUAACUGAGCGGUUAAGGGUUAAGGACCUUGCUCAAGGGCCCAGCAGUAGCAGCUUGGUGGUGCUGGGAUUUGGACUAACAACCUUCCGAUCAGACAUCAAAUGUCCUAACCACUGACCACUUCCUAGCAGGCAAAGAUUGAGUAAUUGUUUCUUUUUCUAAAUACACUUUACAUCUACUAGUCACAACUUGAAGCAUUAAAACCAGCGUCCAUCUUUAACCACAGGUUUCAGUUUGUAUGUUUAUAUAACUGGGGGACGUUAGAAAGCGAUCAAACAUUAGCAGCAUGAAAAGGGAAUUAUCUCAAAAUAAUAAUAAUAAUAUGAACAGGCCUCAUCAGCAUUUAAUGUGUUAGCCAGACAGCCAGAUAAAAACAUGCCAAAUUGCACGUCACUAAUCUACUCUGUAGUCCAAUCAGCUGCCAAAAACCAAACCCUUUUACAUGAAAUAACCUGGGUCUGUUGAUCUGGCAAUAUACAGCAAGUUAAAGAAAUACUUUGUUUUGUAUUUUUAAAUCAUUUCUGAAGAGUAUGCUCUAUAAAAUGGGAUAUUUUGUUCUGUGACCUUAAAGGCACUCAGGACAGUCGCAGGUGUGUUUGCUUUUCCUGACUACUGAUUAUCAGGAAUAAUCACUCAGUUUGUGGACGUUUGAGGCUAAACGCACCGCGCGCACACACACACACACAGAGAGAGAGAAAGAGAGAGAGAGAGAGAGAGAGAGAGAGAGAGAGAGAGAGAGAGAGAUUCCUGAAGCUUACUCCCCCGUUUCUUCUAGCUCUAAUUCACUAAAACAAUACUAUCACAUGAUAAUAGGAGCUCAGGAUAUUAAGAGAAAAUCUGAGGCCAGUUACCUGUGUAGAAUAUUUUAAAUAUCAGUCAGUAAAUGUCAGUUUAUGGGAAAUGGAAACAUAAUGAAUACUAAGCAUGAAAGAUCAAACACAACGCUCUUCCAGACAAUAGGUGUGUGUGUGUGUGUGUGUGUGUGUGUGUGUGUAAGAAAGUGCAGGUUAUUCCUAUUAUAGUGCAUUAGGCUUAAUUAGUUUAUGACCUUGUUUUAAUCUGUGACAGUGUACAUUAAGAUUACACAGUAACACAACAACUGGAACACUUUCUCAAACUCCCAACACACUUCUUCAGAAAUAAAUGAGUGGUCGAUUUGAAUAACAUUCAACGACUAUUCGGUGAUUGGAAUAACAACUUGACAGUCCGAUGCAUUUUAUAUAUCUGUAUCUGUAUGUCUAAUUCUAAUCCGAUCUGCAUUAUGCAUUGUGCAAUGAAACAAAAGCUUGACUAAUCCCACUGAACUCACCAUCAGUAUCUUCCCCAGAAACUUCCCCGAGCUCCACUUCCGAUUCAUUUGCCUACAUAAACCCGAUCAUACACAGCUCCAAACGCAGUGUCGGAUCUGAUCUGAUCUGCUCUGAUCUCAGAGACUCUGUGUCAUCUGACGGAGGGAAGUUUACAGUACGAGCGAGGAAAGCUGCCUCCUGUCUG
ensembl:lncRNA